GACGGAGGGUGCUAGCGUUGUUCGGAAUUACUGGGCGUAAAGGGCGCGUAGGCGGCCGGCUGCGUCGGAUGUGAAAGCCCGGGGCUCAACCCCGGAACGGCAUCCGAUACGGGCUGGCUGGAGACCGGGAGAGGAGGGUGGAAUAGCCAGUGUAGAGGUGAAAUUCGUAGAUAUUGGCUGGAACACCGGUGGCGAAAGCGGCUCUCUGGCCCGGUUCUGACGCUGAGGCGCGAAAGCGUGGGGAGCAAACAGG
rnacentral:rRNA from 1 species